CUUGGUCAUUUAGAGGAAGUAAAAGUCGUAACAAGGUCUCCGUUGGUGAACCAGCGGAGGGAUCAUUACCGAGUUUACAACUCCCAAACCCCUGUGAACAUACCUUACUGUUGCCUCGGCGGAUCAGCCCGCGCCCGGUAAAACGGGACGGCCCGCCAGAGGACCCCUAAACUCUGUUUUUAUUGUAACUUCUGAGUAAAACCAUAAAUAAAUCGAAACUUUCAACAACGGAUCUCUUGGUUCUGGCAUCGAUGAAGAACGCAGCAAAAUGCGAUAAGUAAUGUGAAUUGCAGAAUUCAGUGAAUCAUCGAAUCUUUGAACGCACAUUGCGCCCUUUGGUAUUCCAAAGGGCAUGCCUGUUCGAGCGUCAUUUGUACCCUCAAGCUUUGCUUGGUGUUGGGCGUUUUUGUCUUUGGCCCGCCAAAGACUCGCCUUAAAAUGAUUGGCAGCCGGCCUACUGGUUUCGCAGCGCAGCACAUUUUUGCGCUUGCAAUCAGCAAAAGAGGACGGCAAUCCAUCAAGACUCCUUCUCACGUUUGACCUCGGAUCAGGUAGGGAUACCCGCUGAACUUAAGCAUAUCAAUAAGCGGAGAA
rnacentral:rRNA from 1 species